ensembl:lncRNA LINC01377 long intergenic non-protein coding RNA 1377
AUUAAGCAGUGAAGACAGUGAGUUACUCAGCUGAUUUGUUCCGUGGAGAGUCAGGCUACCUGGUCAUCCUACUCAAUAUCCAGGCCUGCCCGAACCUCAAGACUGGGUGGGCACCGUUCAGAGGCCCCCAGCCCCUGCCCUUCUCCUGCGAGGGCCGAGCUCACCGUCAGGUCCCUGGGGCUUGGAACUAAGUAGCCACUUCAUAAACACAUGGAUUUUGGGGUGCCCCGGCCCCCAUAAAGAGAUCAAAUUAUGUCUCCUGCAUUCUGCUGUAAUGAAAUGAAUCAUAAAAUAUGUUUUAGAAGAAAAUUACUAUAAAAAGUUUCAAAAUUGUUAUUUAAAAAGGACCCCGCCAACACGCAUAUUGACCCAAGGAAUCUUCGGGAUGGACUCUGCUUCUGAUCACAUCUUCACCUGCUCGAGGAUCACCUGUGGCACGUCGGGCUCUGAAUGCAAGCCCCAGGACACCCCAUUUCAUGCGUCUGCAUUCUUAACCUCACUGCGCAUUAACAUGCAUCUCAAUGCAUCCAAAAUACCGCACCCCCAUCACAUCAGAGAGCAUUAAAAAUAAGCCAGCUCAAUGCACAAAAAUGAGGGCGACAAUCGGAAACACAAUGAUGUUUCUAAAGAAUGUCCAACCUUAACUGCA